UAGAAGGCAUCUUGCUCAGGAGGAACUGGAUGCAUGGUAUCUGGUGCUCGGUAAUUUCCUGCAUCAUUUUAUGAAACGUGUUUACGUUCUGGCUGCUGAAAGGUUUUUUUUUUUUUUUUUUCCUAAAUAGCAGAAGAUAUUUUUUCAAAAGGAAGUCUACUUCAAAAUAAUCGUAAACUGUGCAAAAGGAAACUUUAGAUCAUAGAACGAUUUGAAGUGGAAAAAUAAGGAUUUCUCAUCCUUCACAUUUAAAUCGGAAUAUUUGGUUACUGUUCGAAUUGAAAUAUCAACAUAAAAUUUACGAUGGUUUUGGCGUUACUUUUUGACAGAAUAUCUUACACGCGUUUUAACAAAUGUUGCAGACGAUUUUUUUUGUUAAAAAAUGAACCAUAUGGAUUUUGGAGUUAUGACUGCAAACGAUAUUUAUAUUUAAAAAAGAAAUACAAACAAUAAAAACCGUUUUCAAAAUGUGUUCAAAAUUUCAAAUUAUUAUGGAUUUAAUUGGAAGAAAUUCGGAACUAUUUCUAAUCAUAAAAGAAAAGAAAAAACUGUAAUAUGCAUCCAUGACGUAUGAAAUAUCAACGAUUUCGAGAACUAAUUGAAUGAAGAAGUCUUCAAGGACAAUGAUUAUACAGAACAGGUUUACCACGUCCCCAGAUGUCCAAAUCUGCCCAUCACAAAAAAAAAUUGCAAAGUUAUGCCAGUUUUUACUAAAUCAUAAUUAUACUAAAAUAAAAAAUGAUGUCAAGGUGUUGGAUUGAAGUUGGAGCAUCAAUAAGGAAAAAGUGGUUGAAUAAGCAUGAAACUCUGAAAUGAGGCGAGGCACAGCGGCAAGUUCAAGAAGGUGAAACAAGCAUCCUUUGCAAUGGCAAUAAGAUCAAAGUGGAGCAGUGAAGAGUUUAACGCUUUUAUCUGUUUCUUGGAUUGUGUGCAUCAUUUUCUGUUUGGUCUUGAAAUAACAAGAGGCGAGUCCUGCAUCGCUCGUUUAUUACCAAAUUGCUGGACGAAUGCUCAAAAGGUUAUUGAAACAAAAGAAAUAAAAUAAGGAGAUGGGCAUUUCAAAGUUUCGUCAAAUAAACAGUCAAGAGUUUGGUCAACUGAGAAAGCUUACAUAGCGGAAAACAAUAUCAACAUCUAUGUUUGUGCAAUAAUGUUAGUAAAUAAAUAAUUUUUGAAAAAAAAAAAAAAAUUCCAAAAUGAGUUACA